AAAUUAAAAUAAUAUAUAAGUUUGAGUCAGUGAGAGUAAGUAUAU
rnacentral:guide_RNA from 1 species